rnacentral:rRNA from 1 species
UUGCGCGGACGGCCCGCCUUCGGGUUGAGUGCUGGAAGCGCUAGCUUGUUUUCCGGUUUGUGUCCCUUCCCUUGACUGUGGCGGGGUUCACGAUCCGGAUCUGUUACUUUGAAGAAAUUCGGGUGUUCAAAGCAGGCUUAUGCCGUGAAGACUGCAGCAUGGAAUAACAACAUAGGGCUAUCGCGUCUCAUUUUGUUGGUUCUGGGAUCGUAGCAAUGAUUGAUACGGACCGUUGGGGGUGCUGCUAUUCCGCGGCC